CGAGUCGCAAACUCGCGAGAGUAAGCUAAUCUCUUAAAGCCGUUCUCAGUUCGGACUGUAGGCUGCAACUCGCCUACACGAAGUCGGAAUCGCUAGUAAUCGCGGAUCAGCAUGCCGCGGUGAAUACGUUCCCGGGCCUUGUACACACCGCCCGUCACACCAUGGGAGUUUGUAACGCCCAAAGUCGGUGGCCUAACCUUUAUGGAGGGAGCCGCCUAAGGCGAGACAGAUGACUGGGGUGAAGUCGUAACAAGGUACC
rnacentral:rRNA from 1 species